ACCUUUAUGCUGGAUGCCUUAUUCAUAAAGAUAUUAAAUCUAGUAAUAUUUUACUAGACAAGGAUUUCAGGGCUAUUGUUGGAGAUUUUGGUUUUUCCUUAGAGCUACCGCAACAAGAAUCAGGACGUUCACAGAUUACUGCUCCAGUAAUGGCAAAGACGGAAGGAUAUUUUCCCCCAGAGAUAAUUUCUGGAAAAAUAUCAACAUUGUCUGACGUCUAUAGCUGUGGUGUGGUUAGUAGUGUCCAUUAUUGUAUUAUGGUUAUUAUAAUGAACAAAAUAAAAGCUGACACUGUAGGUGUACACAGGCUUGAAACCAUACUGUAAUAAAAGAGAAGAUCAUGAACUAUUAUGCCACACAGAAGAUGAAAGAUGCGACAUAGCUAAAAUUAAAGCAAUUGCUGAUACAAGAGUGCCUGAAUCGAUAAGUGAUCAGGAUUGUGAGAGAUUACAAUUCAUCAUUAAUAGCUGUCUCUCAAGGUACACAAAGCGU